rnacentral:lncRNA from 1 species
GAUGAAUGCACUGAUGAGGGCGAAUUGCGAAUUGGGUCGCUGGACUUGACAGUGGAGCCAGCGGGAGGAAUUGCAUCAACAGCGGCCGGAUUUGCGGAAGCGGGUGGUCUGACGGCCAGAGCAUCGGCCAGAGGAUCUUUAGACGAAGAUACCAUGUUAAAAUCCCGUGCUGGAGGUCGCGGUGAUGAUGACGAUCGACGGGAAUGACUCCGGCAAGAAAUUUGCAGGAGAUUGGCGUGAUUGAGGUUAGGGAUUUUCGCCCAAGAAGAUUGGGGAAAAUACCUAACAGUAACGGAUAGAAUGGAGGAGAAAGAAAGAGGGAAAAGAGGGAAAACGAAUUUUGCGUUAAUUACCCAAAAACGUAAUUAACUUGAUGUAAUU